UAAUGAAUAUUUUAUGCCCAUUUUCAAGUUCCUCGCUGAUACUCUUUAAUGAGUGAAAAACAAAAUAUACUUUUCAAACAAACGAGUUGUUGAUCGUAUAGCAUUACACCAAAUUUGUUGUUUGAAAUGUAUUCUAAAAUAACAAAAUAUACUUCCACACGUGCAGUUCCCCGCCGUGAAUGGUAGGGCUGAUUAUUGAAAAUGGCAAUCAACGAGAACCAGGAGCUGGAGAAGCCUUCAUGAAAAUAAAAAAAAUACCAUCAGAAUCCGAGACUUCGACGAAUAAUUGAUGCUGUUCAUCAUGAAGGGAUACGAGGGAUACAGCAGCUGUACUUCAGCCAGUUGGACUCAUCCGGCAUCAAAAAGAAGUCAGACUUUGCGAAGGCCCCAAAACAUUCCAGCGAGGAUAUCGUAUUUACAUAGCAUGUACUCUGUAAGUGUUCCUGUCCUUGUUCCUGACGAUCGGGAACACAUACGUCAAUUCCGGGAACGGUUUCAGAAGCAGCCGCCGUAUCUAUUAUGUCCCUGCUUUGUUCACUUGUUUCCCGGCAUCCGUUCGGCGGGUUGCUUAAUAGGCGGGCGGGCGAGAGGGGCGAGCAAAACACAAGUUGCAGUUAUUUCUCUUCAUAUAUUAACUCGCAAAAUUCGCUUGAUGUGUAUCUAUUGUAUGAUAAUUGAA